GACGAACGCUGGCGGCGUGCUUAACACAUGCAAGUCGAACGGAAAGGCCCUGCUUUUGUGGGGUGCUCGAGUGGCGAACGGGUGAGUAACACGUGAGUAACCUGCCCUUGGCUUUGGGAUAACUUCAGGAAACUGGGGCUAAUACCGGAUAGGAGCUCCUGCUGCAUGGUGGGGGUUGGAAAGUUUCGGCGGUUGGGGAUGGACUCGCGGCUUAUCAGCUUGUUGGUGGGGUAAUGGCUUACCAAGGCUUUGACGGGUAGCCGGCCUGAGAGGGUGACCGGCCACAUUGGGACUGAGAUACGGCCCAGACUCCUACGGGAGGCAGCAGUGGGGAAUAUUGCACAAUGGGCGGAAGCCUGAUGCAGCAACGCCGCGUGCGGGAUGACGGCCUUCGGGUUGUAAACCGCUUUCGCCUGUGACGAAGCGUGAGUGACGGUAAUGGGUAAAGAAGCACCGGCUAACUACGUG
rnacentral:rRNA from 1 species